CCGAGGCAGCAAGGCCCCACAUAGUAAAUGUCACCAUGUAACAUCCUUCUGUUUAGCAUCAUUUGAAUGCAUUUUUAAAGGAAGUCCCGUGCAGAGUGAACAAUUAGGCAAGUUUUACUCAAAAAAGGUUGCUCAGUGAAGCCCACAUAUGAACUUUCCAGGGAUGAAGCAGUGGGGGAGACCGAGGGCAUCCAGGGAUCUGGAGACCCUGCAAUGGAGUGAUGGCCCAGCAGUUUGUGGGCUCAUCCUUAAAUCCCUGCAAUCUGGAUUCUCAGAUGAGGUCUAGAGAAUGGAGAUAUGCCUCGAGGACCAGUGAGCAGAAAGAUACCUCCUGGCUUCUGCAGAAGACCAGGAAAGGGAAGGGCUGAGCUGGUGAAGAAUAUUCCAAGCAGCUGAGGUCUGGCCAGAUCUAUAGAAAAUAUUUGGAAAAGAGAAGAGACUAACACCAGCUCCUUAACACCAACCUGGCACGUGGCGGAUGCUCAGUAGACAUCUUUGAAUGUGGAGUGAAGGAGCUUACCGACUUGGCCUUGACCUCACCUGCUGUACCCUGUCCUUGCUGGGCCACGCACCUCCCAUCCCAGCCACAGUAAAGGUCACACCCUCUGCAGAGAGCCGGGAUCCUCACAGCCCCAACUCCGUGCCGGCAGGGGCUUUCUCUUUCCUUUGUAGUCCUAUUUCCUCUCUAAGACAUGCCUGCACAUGUCAGUCACCUUUGAUGUAAAUUGCGC